rnacentral:rRNA from 1 species
ACCAGCAGCCAUAUCACCCUGUGGCUCACAGCUGGCAGUCCACUGAAGCUCAGCAGGUUUGAGCCUCACUAAUAUCUGGAUGGGAGACCUCCUGGGAAAGCUAAGGCUGCUGCUGGAA